ensembl:lncRNA
GUCUCUGUCUCUCUCUCCUUUUCUCUCCUUGCUGCAAUGAGAAGACACAGCAAGAAGACUUCUGUCUGCAAGCAAGGAAGAAGGCUCUCACCAGGAACCGAAUUGGUUAACACCUAAUUAUCUUGGACUUCCCAGCCUUUAGAACUAAAGACAACUGAAUAAAUUUGGUAGCAGAAUAGGAAGGAACAAAUACAUGAGCGUACUCGGAAUGAGAGAAGACAGCAGCAGGUAACAGAAGGUGGUUAAGUAAUGAAAUUUUUAGCAGCACAUGCCCACACCGUGGCCCCUUCCUGAUUCCUGUAAUGUACAUGUGGAAUCGACUGUGUAGAAGAGAAACUUCAGAGAUGCAUUGGUGUCAAUCAGGCACAUCCCUGGACCAGACUAUAUAUCCAAUUAAAGAUGUAUUGAGGACUAUCUCUCACACAUAUUGCCUGGCUAUGGGCCCUACCUUUGAGGAUGUGAUGUCUUUGGUGCCACAGACAUGCAUAAUCAGUGGACACAGAGAAAGCAUGAGUGAUUCAAAUGGACAUGGAAACAAGAACUGGAAAUUGGACGUCUGGUAUUCUCAUGGAUGGCUUGCAGGACUUCCUUAUGGGAUUUGGGUACGAAGGUCCCCCUCCACCGUCACCCAAGCUUUAUCGCCUCUGUCCUAGAUUAUUGCUUCUAGCAUUGAAGGGACAGUGAUAUGUAAAAUAUCCAGGACAAAGGAAACGGAAGAUACAGGUGAAAGUGAGUGAGGAAGCAGAGAAGGCAGAUCUUAGAAGCAGGGCCGACCACUACCACCAGCCCAACUGGAUAUACUGUCGAGAUUUAAGUGAGUACACAGUUGGAGUUUACCAAGGAGAGCAGAGGGUCUGGGAAAGACUAAAAUGCCAGUCACCAAAUCCAGUUGUCUCAGUUACAAUAAAUCCCCAAGAAGGUCUAAUGCAUGGAUAAAAACAUAUGAAAAUGAAGCAAAUAAUUACUUGUGGUGGAAUGAAUUUGAAUGGAUCCAUCUUGAUGGAAGAUUCUGUCCCGAAGCAGUGUGAAGAGAAUGUCGGAAGAUUACUGAGAAGUGCAAGGUUGGGAGGAGACACACUAAUCUUCCUACAAGUAAGACUUCUAGUCAUGAAAACCCUGUUGGAACAUCUGAAACGCUUUAUGUACAAGGACCUGUCUUAGAGGAAGAAGCUGAUGAGGAACUUCUCAGUUUUUCUGGGCUCACCAGGUCUCCUCAGGUUCAAUGACCUUACCGACCAGUCAAGGGUCCUUAGAUCUCAUCCAAGUCAUCUGGCUGGUAUUUCCUUAGGGAAAAGAGGGGCUGAAGAUGCUGUACAAAGCUUAAUUUCUGCACCUCGUCCUUAAAUGCAGCACUGACUCCCCUGAGCUGGAGGUGGGCAAAAGACCCAAGUCAAACCUGUUACAUCACACACCCACCUAGUAGCCAGAGUGAAGGAUCCAAGAAGGCAUAAGACACAGUAGAGCCCAUCAGAGACCAUCCUGGGAAGCUGUUUUUUAACUAGAGACAAUACAAAUGUUAUUUUUUAGUAGACCUUUACUAAAAGAUGCUUUUAGUCAAAAAUAACAUCACAGGGCAAGUCUGUUUGAGAGAAUGAUGCUGCCACACAGCCAGAAAAGAAGGAAGGCAUCUCUGCUUUCAGUUUCAGAAUUUUCCAGAACUGUAACCAAAGCAUAGCUAUUUAGUUGUUUCUUCGAUUUUGGUGAGCUGUGCAGGAAUCAUUUCAAUAAAUUCCCCUUUUUGUUUAAUCUUGUUUGAAAAGUUUUCUUUUUCAUUUGUGUCCCAAAGUAUCCUGG